CCCUUUUUUAUAUUUUGGGUUUUAUUCAGAGAUUACUGAAAUGCUUCCUGGAAUUUUGAACCAGUUGGGUGCUGAAAGCCUCACUCACCUGAAGAGAUUAGCAGAUAUACACAGUGCAGCUGCCGGAAGUGGUGACCAUGGAGUAACUACAGGAAUAGAUGAUGAUGACGAAGUACCGGAUCUUGUGGAAGACUUUGAUGAAGCUCUGAAAUCUGAAGCUGUGUAAUAACAAUAAAGAUGAAGAUGAGAAACAAUGAAAUUGUGUUCAGUCAUUUAAAGUGACUUUUUCAUUUUACAGUAUGUAAUUGUAAUAUGUAAAUCAAAUGUUUACUGUGGGAUAAUUAUGGUACACUUAGCUUUGCACAUUUUCUAGUGACUCGCUUCAAAAUACAUCUCAUUAGUAAUCAAGGAAUUAUUUUAAUUAAUAACAGUGAAGAGUAAAUAAAGUUAUUUGUAGUAUCA